rnacentral:rRNA from 1 species
UUGCGGUUAAAAAGCUCGUAGUUGGAUUUCUGUUGAGGUCGACCGGUGUACACUUCGUGUAUUAUUUGGUUCGGUCUCGGCAUCCUCUUGGGGAACGUUUCUGGACUUUAUUGGACAGGGCGAGAUUCAAGACUUUUACUUUGAGGAAAUUAGAGUGUUCACGGCAAGCAAGUGCUUUGAAUACAUUAGCAUGGAAUAAUAAUAUAGGACCUUCGUUCUAUUUUGUUGGUUUCUAGAACUUAGGUAAUGAUUAAUAGGGACAAUUGGGGGCAUUCGUAUUAACGCGUCAGAGGUGGAAUUCUUGGAUUGCGUUACGACGAACUACUGCGAAAGCAAUUGCCAAAGAUGUUUUCAUUGAUCAAGAACGAAAGUAUGGGGAUCGAAGACGCUUAGAUACCGUCGUAGUCUAUACCAUAAACUAUGCCAACUAGAGAUUGGAGGGGUUCUCCUAUGUGGCUCCUUCAGCACCUUAUGAGAAAUCAAAGUUUUUGGGUUCCGGGGGGAGUAUGGUCGCAAGGCUGAAACUUAAAGGAAUUGACGGAAGGGCACCACCAGGAGUGGAGCCUGCGGCUUAAUUUGACUCAACACGGGAAAACUUACCAGGUCCAGACAUAGUAAGGAUUGACAGAUUGAUAGCUCUU